UACAUGGGGUGCAAACGUUGCUCGGAAUUAUUGGGCGUAAAGCGCACGUAGGCGGUUUGUUAAGUCGGAUGUGAAAUCCCUCGGCUCAACUGAGGAAGUGCAUCCGAAACUGGCAAGCUUGAGUACGAAAGAGGGUCGCGGAAUUCCCGGUGUAGAGGUGAAAUUCGUAGAUAUCGGGAGGAACACCAGUGGCGAAGGCGGCUACCUGGACCAGCACUGACACUGAGGCACGAAAGCGUGGGGAGCAAACAGG
rnacentral:rRNA from 1 species